rnacentral:rRNA from 1 species
GUGCCAGCCGCCGCGGUAAUACAGAGGGUGCAAGCGUUGUUCGGAAUGAUUGGGCGUAAAGCAUCUGUAGGUGGUUUCUAAAGUCAGCUGUUAAAUCCCAGAGCUCAACUUUGGUCAAGCAGUUGAGUACUUAGAGACUUGAGUACGGUAGGGGUAGAGGGAAUUCCUUGUUUAGCGGUGAAAUGCAUAGAGAUAAGGAAGAACACCAGUGGCGAAAGCGCUCUACUGGGCCGUAACUGACACUGAGAGAUGAAAGUUAGGGGAGCGAAAAGGAUUAGAUACCCUUGUAGUCCUAACUGUAAACGAUGGAUACUAAGUGCUGUCAAAAACAGUGCUGUAGCUAACGCGUUAAGUAUCCCGCCUGGGGAGUAUGCUCGCAAGAGUGAAACUCAAAGGAAUUGGCGGGG